UACGGGGGGAGCAAGCGUUGUUCGGAUUUACUGGCGUAAAGGGCGCGUAGGCGGUCAGCACAAGUCAGUUGUGAAAUCUCCGGGCUUAACUCGGAAAGGUCAAACUGAUACUGUGCGACUAGAGUGCGGAAGGGGCAACUGGAAUUCUCGGUGUAGCGGUGAAAUGCGUAGAUAUCGAGGAGAACACCUGCGGCGAAGGCGGGUGCUGGGCCGACACUGACGCUGAUGCGCGAAAGCCAGGGGAGCGAACGGG
rnacentral:rRNA from 1 species